GAUGAACGCUGGCGGCGUGCUUAACACAUGCAAGUCGAACGGAAAGGCUCCUGCCUGCGGGGGUACUCGAGUGGCGAACGGGUGAGUAACACGUGGGUGAUCUGCCCUGUACUUCGGGAUAAGCUUGGGAAACUGGGUCUAAUACCGGAGAUGACAAUCUCUGGGAUGGGGUUGUGGAGAGCUUUUGCGGUAUGGGGUGAGCUCGCGGCCUAUCAGCUUGUUGGUGGGGUAAUGGCCUACCAAGGCGUCGACGGGUAGCCGGCCUGAGAGGGUGUACGGCCACAUUGGGACUGAGAUACGGCCCAGACUCCUACGGGAGGCAGCAGUGGGGAAUAUUGCACAAUGGGCGCAAGCCUGAUGCAGCGACGCCGCGUGGGGGAUGACGGCCUUCGGGUUGUAAACUCCUUUCGCAACCGACGAAGCUUUUGUGACGGUAGGUUGAGAAGAAGCACCGGCUAACUACGUG
rnacentral:rRNA from 1 species